GGGUCAGUAGGUUGGUCGUGCCACCGGUACGUACUGGUCUCACUGAUUCCCCCUUCCUGAAGAACCGUAAUGACAUUAAUUUGGUGUUGCGGGGAAACAGGACUGUUACUUUGAAAAAAUUAGAGUGUUUAAAGCAAGCUAACGCUUGAAUACAUUAGCAUGGAAUAAUGAAAUAGGACGAUCGAUCCUAUUUUGUUGGUUUCUAGGAUUGACGUA
rnacentral:rRNA from 1 species